rnacentral:rRNA from 1 species
CAGCCGCCGCGGGAAUACGGAGGGGGCUAGCGUUGUACGGAAUUACUGGGCGUAAAGCGCACGUAGGCGGCUUGGUAAGUUAGAGGUGAAAGCCUGGAGCUCAACUCCAGAAUUGCCUUUAAGACUGCCGAGCUAGCAGGUGAGAGAGGUAAGUGGAAUUCCGAGUGUAGAGGUGAAAUUCGUAGAUAUUCGGAAGAACACCAGUGGCGAAGGCGGCUUACUGGCUCAUACUGGACGCUGAGGUGCGAAAGCGUGGGGAGCAAACAGGAUUAGAUACCCCUGUAGUCCCUGUCUCUUAUAC